UUCCUUUUCCUUUUUCAAAUAAACCGAGAUUUGUAACUUUCUGUGUUUUUUCUUUUAAAAAUUUCAGACAGGGAAGGUUAUAAGCUCAACGAACUCUCGGAAAACUGGAUCCAUCGGAAAAUGGUUUCAGCAGAAGGAGUUGAUGAGUAACUCGGUGAAGAAGAAAGACAGGGCAAGAGUUGAGAACGCCCAUGUCCACUCAGCCGUGUCAGUUGCAGGGUUAGCAGCAGCCUUGGCUGCUGUUUCUGCAGCAAGUAACAGAGCCAGUGGUGGUUCGAGUUCAAAAAUGGCGAUGGCACUGGCAUCUGCCACUGAACUCUUGGCUUCUCAUUGCAUUGAACUGGCUGAACAAGCCGGUGCCGAUCAUGAUCGUGUUGCUUCCGUCGUCAGAUCAGCCGUCGAUAUUCACAGUCCCGGCGAUCUAAUCACUCUCACAGCUGCAGCAGCAACGGGUAAUAACUCAGUCUGUUUUACAUGAUCUUUUACUAAUAAAACCCAGAAGAUCUAGAAGAAGAACCUUCCGGUAAUAAUAUGUGUGUUUCUUUUUAUGGAUCAGCUUUGAGAGGAGAAGCUGCGUUAAAAGCUAGAGUUCCGACAGAAGGAAGGAAAAAUGCAAGUAUAAGUCCAUGUGAAAGGAGUAUAACGGAGAUUCAUUGGCCUGCUGCUUUUCAUAAUAGAACGGAUCAAGAACAGAAUCCUCCAUGUGAGGGUGAAUUAAUGCAGAUCACUCGAAAAGGUAAUUUCUUUUCUGGGUUUUCAAUUUUAAAACAAAAGCAGUCUCUGCUCAGUUCAAUUUUUUUACGUGCAUCAAUUUGUCCAACGCAUAUAAAUUUUAGCCUCAAACAAAUAUUGGAGAAGACGGCUUUCCUUUUGAUUUUAAUGAACAUAAUCUUUCUUUGUUACUUCAGUAAUUAAUUAGUAAGUGCACAGUAAGUUCUCAUUUAGAGUAGUUUUUGGCUUCUAUUUUUGCAUUUGAAAAAAUAAUUUUAUAACUAAAUGGAUAAGAUGAAAAUGGUUGGAAAGAAAUUUAAAGUUAAAAUGUAAUUUUGAUAAAUUUAUUGCAAAGUGAAAACCAGUUUUCAUUAGUUUAUAUAUUCUUUUUGUCUUUUUACGUGCAUCAGUUUGUCCAAUGCGUUGAAAUUUUAGCCUUAAUUAGUGGAGGAGGUGGGUUAUUUUUAUUUAAAAAUUUAUAUAUUUUAUUAAUUAAAUAAUAUAUACACACUGAUCACUAUAAUUUCUUAAAGAAUAUAUACUGAAACACAGUUUGCAUGACUAUAUAAUCUCUUACAGAAAAUGAAUUACCAACCAUUCAUUGAUUAAUGCAUAACACAAUUUCAACAAUUAUGAUAUUCAAUUCCCUUUUAUUGGUGUUUAAUUUACAGGAGUGUUGCGAUGGAAGCGAGUAUCAGUUUAUAUCAACAAAAAAUCUCAGGUACAUACAGUAUACAUACAUACAUACAUAUAUAUAUAUAUAUAUACACAUAAAUAAAUAUACAAAGAGCGAAAGAGAGAGAGUUGAAUUAAAUUCAUAAUUUUACCAAUAUAUCAUUCAAAUUUCAGAUCAUAAUCAAGCUAAAGAGCAAACAUGUGGGGGGAGCCUUCUCCAAGAAGAAUAAAUGUAUAGAGUCAUAAACUUGUUCUGAAUUUCAAGGACUACUUUAUUUAAUCAACCACUCGUAAAUCAGUUUUUCUACUUGAUUUUUUCUGGGUUUAAACGAUCUGUGGGUGAUAGCAGGCAUCGUUUAUGGAGUCUGCGACGAGACCGCUGCAUGGCCAUACAGGAAAGAGAGGGAAAACACAGAAGAUCUGUAUUUUGGACUGAAGACUGCACAGGGACUUAUGGAGUUCAAAUGCAGGAGCAAGCUUCAUAAGCAAAAAUGGGUUGAUGGAAUUCAGAGUCUUCUUCGCCAAGUUACCUGCAUUGAGGCAACUGACUGCUCCCUUCAGUCUUUAAGCAUAACCAAUACUAUAUAAAUCAUAUAUACAUAUAUAUGCAUAUGUAGAUCAUUUGCUUUGUACAUAGAUAUCAAGUAGUAUUCACAGGAAACUCUCAAAUCAUUUUGUUUUUUCAACACAUUAUAAAAGUCAUCAGUGUGAUCUUUAUAUUGAAGUUUUGGAAUUAAAUGGACAGAUCUUGCUUUUUUGCGAUUCCAAUGACAUUGCUUAUUUGGUUUUGAUUUUUUUCGGGUUCCGAGAAAUGUGCAUCAAGUUUUGCAAACUCGGAAAUGCCGCAAGAAUUUUAUGCUUUCACUGGUUGAUUGACAAUAUGAGCAAGUCAAUAAACACAUCUUUCAUCUGAAAAAAUAUAUAAAUACUUUCAUUAGAACUAAAAAGAAGCAAGAAAACAAUUAAAGCAAAAGAAAUUCAUGCAUCGAAGAAACUCACUCGAAACAGUUCUAUUUCGUUAGGUAAACCAACAAUUGACCUUGUUUUCAAUUUUAAGAAUAUGCUAACUUCCAUCAUCCAUUUCAUCAUCUAACCAAUCCACUUUUCCCACCCACCAAAGAAUUCAAAUGAUUUAUAUAUGAGAAGGGUAAGAAGAGAAACGACAAACAUUAAAGUUUAUAUGCUUCAUUUUCCCUUUCAAAUAUCUGGUAUUAUAAUUUGAAUUCAAAGAGUGGAACAUUUGAUUUGAAGUACUUCUGUAUAGAACAAUUCAAUAAUAACUGAACGUACAACCCUAUUGCACCUUUACAGGUCUUUUCUUUCUAUUCUUAAAAUACAACAGUCUUGUUUGUGCCAUAAGGUAGCACUCGCAGCUCGCAAUAUGAUCUUAUAGCUUUUGAAAGGCAUUUUUUCUCAAGAUCCUCUGAUUUCUGAACAAAACUUCUCAGAUUGUCUCUAUGAGAAACUGCCUCAACCUGCAAAACAAUUUCUGAUGCAUUAUGAAUUGUUUAAGAACAAGGAAUCAAGACAAACACGCACAUCAUCUACAAGAAAGCAGAAUUUUAAUCCAUAGCACCAAGAAAAUCAGAAAGAAGCCACUGGGAUAUUAGACCUAAAUAAAUGCUCUCAUGUCAGUCGCAACUAUCAUAUUUCAACUUCAGAAUCAGUUGCGCUAUGGUUUGUUUAGGGAAGAAUCAAGCUGUAGAUAUUGAACCUAAAUAAAUGCUCUCAUGUCAGUAGCAAAAACUUAAAUUCACAUCCUAAAAAGCAUGUCUUUGAACAAUCAUGCAUCACAUUCUCAAAAGCAUUACUUAAAUUCAUAAAUAGAGAAGAAAAGAUGGGAUGAUAACACGUAGGAUCAGGAUUUCAGCUGAAGUAAAUUCAACUUGAUCCUUUGCAUUCUUUGUUUCUCAACCUGUUUUAGCUUCUGAUCAACUGUUCACCUCUAAAGCCCAAUAAAGUUCAUACACUACUAAGCUUUUAACAUGCAGCUUCUUUUACUUCAGCUAAAGACUUCAUAGGCUAGAUUUUGACUAUAGAAAUGAGCAGCAACUUGAGACUCUAUGAAGCCUAUUAUAAAGAAGCAUUUAGGCUGCAGAGCUUGGAAGUAAAGACGCAGCAUUCAAGAUGUUACAACUUCUGACCUGUAAGUUAUUAGCUAAAAUAUCUAGAGCAUGGACAAGCAAACUGAUGGUAUUGAAUGAUGAAAGCAUCAAAUGUCUAAGAAGGAUAAGAAAAGGAAAUGAAAGCCAAUUUAGUGAGAGCUUAAAUUGACAAGAGUUAUUUGGCAUGUACUAUUCUUUUCUCACGUCUAAAAAACUAUGAAAAAGUUAACAGGUGUACUUUAAGCAGUGCAAAUGAAUCUGUGAGGAUGCAUAAUUUGAAAAUCUGAAUAACGGUAAGAGGUUGAAAGUAAAGAGGCAGCAUUCUGUAGGCAAGACAACUACGAACUAUGUGAUAAAUUAAAACAUCUAAAGCACAGACAGGCAAAAUGAUGGCCAUUGAUGAAAAUAGGAAAUGAAAGCCAAUCCAAGUCGCCAUUAAGUAGACUAGUUCCGAUUACUCUUGGCAUAAACAACUCUGAUUCUCACACAUUUAGAGUAUAAAAAAAGUUACUGGGUGCACUCAAGGAGUGGAAAUGAAUGUGUUCGGAUGAUAAUUUGAAUAACUUUUUAAUGACUUAAUGACCACAUUCCAUUUCUUAGACGGCAGACACAAAACAAAAAGGAGCAUAAUCCUAAUCAGUUAUCAUUGUGAUAAGUACCAUUUGCUCAAUGAUAGGUCCCGAAUCAAGUUCCUCGGUCACAAAGUGACUUGUUGCACCAAUUAGCUUUACCCCGGCAUCAAAUGCCUGCAAACAUACUAAAGGAAAUUUAAAAAAAUGGGAAUUCAAGAGUAAGAGCUAAAACAUCAGGUUGAUUACCAGGACUUUGAAGAGCAAAGCACAUUAACCUGUUUUGAUGGAUGUCCACCCUUGAAGGAUGGCAAAAGUCCAUGAUGAAUGUUAAUUAUAUCCUUCCCAUAACUUUUUAAGAAAUCACCAGAUAGUACCUGCAAAACAAAUUACCAUUUGAUCAAAAAUAUUUUAGUAACUUUUACUUGUAGACACUUCCAAAAAUUUGUUCAAACUCUGAUAGGCCAGUUACAAUCUUCCCACAUAAAUUAGCAUCACACUAACAAUUUUAUAUAAAAAUUGAGGAAAAGAGUCUCACGUGUCACCAAAGAUACUGAUAAGAGUACCAAAAGGGGCACCAUGAAUUCAUCAAAAUUGCGAAGUACUAAAAUGAGUGCCAGGAAGAAAUACACUAGAAAAGAUGUCCAGAAAAUUAAUUAGCGUGCUAGGUUAAAGGAGAAAAAAUGGAAACAUGUUCUUUUGUUUAGGGCAUUGAACCUAAAGAUAAGAGGUCUAAUAANNNNNNNNNNNNNNNNNNNNNNNNNNNNNNNNNNNNNNNNNNNNNNNNNNNNNNNNNNNNNNNNNNNNNNNNNNNNNNNNNNNNNNNNNNNNNNNNNNNNNNNNNNNNNNNNNNNNNNNNNNNNNNNNNNNNNNNNNNNNNNNNNNNNNNNNNNNNNNNNNNNNNNNNNNNNNNNNNNNNNNNNNNNNNNNNNNNNNNNNNNNNNNNNNNNNNNNNNNNNNNNNNNNNNNNNNNNNNNNNNNNNNNNNNNNNNNNNNNNNNNNNNNNNNNNNNNNNNNNNNNNNNNNNNNNNNNNNNNNNNNNNNNNNNNNNNNNNNNNNNNNNNNNNNNNNNNNNNNNNNNNNNNNNNNNNNNNNNNNNNNNNNNNNNNNNNNNNNNNNNNNNNNNNNNNNNNNNNNNNNNNNNNNNNNNNNNNNNNNNNNNNNNNNNNNNNNNNNNNNNNNNNNNNNNNNNNUACUUUUAAGCUAAUAUGCUUAAAGAUGCUUGCAAGCACUAAAUAAGCAUCUGAACACCUUCUGAAAGAUUGAAUUUUGGGGUAAAUAUGAGCUCAAGCAUAAAAAUUGUGCUGUAAUUCUAUACUUUCAAGACCACAUGAAAACUAAGAAUAGGAACCGAGGUGCCAAAAGUGUGGUGGAAAAAGAAGUCAAAAUCAACUUGCCAAUUAAUUGGUCUAUUAAGAAGCUGCCACAUAUGAAAAAGUAAAACGAGCUGACUACUAGUGAACUGUCACCACCUUUGCACUGGUGAGAAAUGACUAUAACUAGGCCACUAAGGAGUUAAUGCCAUUGUUGAACUAAUUAGAAGUAUAACACCUAUGUUGAAUAUGAUAUUUUAUUAUUUUAAUUAAUUAAUUAGUAUUAUGUAAUUAAAAUUUUAUAAUAAUAAUCUCACAUUAUUAGAAUUUUAGUAGAAUAAAAAUUUUCUUAUUAAUAAAUUAAAAAUUCUAUAAAUACCCAGGUGUAACAAACUAAAAGGUGAAAAAUAAAUUUAUUUAUUUAUUUUUCUAAAAUUUUAUAUGGUAUCAAAGCCAAAUAAUAUUAUUUUAGGAUUCUAAUUUUAGGGUUAUUUUCAAAUCCUAAAAUAGUACAAUAUGCUUCGUUGGUACCUUUUUAUCCAUAUCCACUUUCAUCACCACUCAAGAUGGAUUUGAACUCAUUGAUGUAUUUUAUGGUGUUUAUGGUGAUUUUUGCCAGCAAUUUAGGCACUGGUAAAAAGUGCAGCUGCACUCUGAAGGCGCUGGUAAAAAGUGCAGCUGCACUCUGGAGGCGCUGGUAAAAGGCCCUGCCGCACUCUUGAAGCGCCGGUAAAAAGCUGCAGCCGCACAUUUUAGGCACUGGUAAAAAACUGAAGCCACACAUCUACAAGCGCCGGAAAAAAAAGUGCAGUUGCACAUCCGAAAGCACCAAUAAAAAUAUUCAACCUCACAACCGUAAGCGCUAGUAAAAAGUUGCAGUCGCACAUCUAUAAUCGUCAAUAAAAAGAUGCAACUGCACAUCACAUGCACUGAUAAAAAGUUACAGCCAUACAUCUACAGGUGGCGGUAAAAAAAACUGCGUCAUUUCAUUUUUAUGCGCACGUUCAAAGAUUUGUCCGAGUUCGAGCCAUUUUUUGAGCCGAUUUCAAGCUGUUUUAGAGCCAAGCCUGAGCUAUUUUAGAGCCAAACCCGAACUGUUUUAGAGUCGAACUCAAGCUGUUUUAGAGCUAAGCCAAGCUGUUUUGAGCUGAUUUGAGCCAUUUUGGGCCGGGUCUACCCGUGUUGAGCUGGGCUAAGCCGUUUGAGCCAGACCGAGUUGUUUUAAGCCGAGUCGAGCUGUAAUUGCUCUUUUUAGAUGGGAGCCAUGUUGCCUCCCAACCUUAAUCAUGUUUUUGCUUCGAGCUAUUGAGGCUAAUCUCUUUUAAGGUUAAUAUACGGGUGCACGGGACUAGAAGAUGGAGAUCUCUCAUCUCAUGUUAACAAACGACAUAUCAGAAGUCUUAUUCAUGAUUGUCUGAUAUGAGAAAGAGAAGAGAAAGAGAGAGAAGAAGAGAGAAGGAACACAAAGGAAGAAGAGAGAUUUUGAGGUAAAAUUUGUUUUAUUUCUUCGAUGCCUUUACAUUCGUAAAAAUCACCUUAUUUACAAGCUUAUGAGCGUUAAAGGUUGGAUGAUGAUUGAGGCGAGACUCGCUUGGCCAUUUGGUUGCGGUGGCAACCGCAGGAUCUGCUGUAAUGAUUAGGAUUGAUUCAGUGAUUCAACUCUAACCCUAAUCCGUCCUGCUAUUUUGCCCUCUGUGGGUGAAAUGACUUUCCUGCCUUUUUCCUAUAGUAAACAACCAGAGGUCCCUCCUUUUGAAGCCAGACAAAGCUGCCUUGAGGAACAUUAGAUGUGCGCUUCCCUCUUUCCAAAUUGUUCCGGAAUUGAUGGUCAACUUAGCACAAUCUAAAUUGUGACUAUUGGGUGAACAACAAUGAGUUAGUCAUGAUUUUGGAUUAUAAAACAAAAAUAUAUCUAUUGUGUACCUCAUUUUUCCUUUUGAUGCUUACAUUAAAGCGGCUAGCUUAAGAUUGAAAGGUGGCUCCUAGGGAGAACUUAUUCAAAGGACGUAAAUUGACUCUUUCAGAGAGUGCACUCUCUCUCUCUCUCCACCUUUGCCUCUUUUAUUUUUGUUUUUGAUAGAAAAACAAAUUGUAUUAAGAAGAGAGAAAAAGUAUAAAGUAGAGGAUUAGAUGUCCUCCCAAAUAAAAAUAAAAGAAAGGGAAAGGGAGAUAAUCAAUGAACCUUAUAGAAGGGAUAGCUUGUCAAUCUCUAUGCAAUGAAGACAAAAAACAACCUUUGAAUAAACCAUGUGCAUGGCCUAAGGGGAUAACAAAAAGACACCUUAUCAUAGAGAAGUAAAAAAUAAAGAAAAAAAGAUCUCUUAAGAUACUAGCAUUCCUUUUCAGCCAAAUCACUUGUAGACCAGGCAAAAUAUAGCCCUCCUCCAAAGCGCUUUAUUUUACUUCCUCUUGUCAAACUCACCAAUAGCAGAAGUAAUAGACCCCUAUAGAUGAUGAUGAGCUGCCCAAGCCACAUUGAAAAUGUCAAAGAGCCAACAACAAAGCUUCCAAACCAAAUCACAAAGCAAAAAAAGGUAACUAUGCAUCUCUGCAGCUUUAUAGCACAUCACACAAGCCCUUGGAUACAAUGCAUGAUUGGUCUAUGAGUUUGGAGCAAAUCAUUAGUAUCCAGUCUAUCCAAAAUAGUAAUCCAAACAAAAACCUUUAAUCAGGAGUAGGAAUGCUCGACCAGAUUUUGUUAUAAACAUCAUUGUGAAUGGAAGGACUACAGGUUAGAAAAGCAAAGAACGACUUGUAGAUAAAAGUACCCAAAAAGUCUAAGGACCAAACUCUAUGAUCAGGGUCUAGGAAAAACAACAAAUCAAAGAAGUCAUAUCUACAACUUCACAAUCAUUAAAGUAUCAAAAAUAGUGCAUAUUCCAUGAAUGAGAACCAUCUGAGAGGUCCGAAAAACAAGAAAUAGAAGGAUUAUGUCUUUAGGAUAGAUUACAAGGGAAGUGAAGAGCUAGUAAAAACUCAUCAAUCCAACUGUCCUCCCAAAAGAGAAAAUGGCAAUCAUCAGCCACUUCGCAUUGUAGACAAGGGGAAGAAACUCUCAUAGAGGCAAGAGAAUGCUUUCUGAUGACUCCACUACGAGGGAAAAAAUGCUCACUUUCAAAUUCAUCUCAUCAUGCUGCAAACUGAACUUGCUCUUAGUUACCUGACAAUAAAUAGAUUGAGAACAUCUAGUGUUGGCUUUUGUAAGGUGAUAUAUAUGACCAAAGAAAGUUUCACUUGGUAACUCAUAAAGAUGUGAAACCAUCAACGGCAAAAAGGGUCUAGAUACUGCAUAAUUUCAAUCAAGCUCUACCAGCAAAACAGAAUGAAACUUCUUUUCCACCAGAGAUUAAACUGGUAUCUUAGACUAGGUAGGGAUGUUUUUGGCUCUAGUCUUUGAAGGUGGAUUGGUUUGUACUUGGACAAAAUUUUGCAACCAUACUCAGUACCAUGUGGUGAAUGGCAUGCGAAUUAGGUAUUUGUAGGAUAUCUAGUGUGGAAAUAGGCAUUCAAGAGAUAAGUUUCCUUCUACCCACUCCAUAGCUCAGUUCAAGGAGGCCCCAGUUGUCAAUGGUUUUUGAAGUGUACAGUAGUGGAAUCAAGUGAAGCAUCUCUCUUCUUGCGAUUUAAAUGAUUGAGAAAUUAAUGAUUGGAUUUCCUUUCUUGCCAAGUUGAGUGUACUUCUAUUCUUUCAGCACUAAAGACGUGCAAAUGUGGAAGCACUCUGAGGAGGGAACUUUUAAGUUAAUCGUAUUAAAACCACUUGAUUGUAGAUGGUGGGAUCUUGAGUUAUCUCCCUUGGAAGAAAGUAUGGGGAAUGAAGGCAACUCCCAUAAUUGCUCUUUUUAGAUGGGAGGCAACAUGGCAAGAAUCCUAACUAUUGACAUUCUUAAUUUGAAGGUAGAAUUUUGGUAAACCAUUUUGGUGUCAAUGUGAUUAUAAUGCCCUAGCCUUGGGAUUCAUUUCUCAAUCCCCUAAACCUCAACUAGAUGGACACUUGGAAGGGGAGGAACAAUAAAGCUUUUAGAAAUUCCUCUUUCCCCCUUGCUUUAAUCCAGGAUCAUUGGCUUGCAACCCUUCAUAUUUUGUUUAAGUGUCAUCCUAUGUAUGAUAAGGUUGAUAUUAUUAAUAAUAUUGACAUUUUCUCCUUUCAGUUAGAUGUAAGUAUUUUUCUAUAUUUCUCCUUUUGAUUCCGUUGUCAUCUUCCUCUUAGAAGAAGAUACAUGGUGUCAAAUUAUCCUACAAAUAGUAAAAUGCCACUCUCAUCCGAUGCAAGGAAUAAAAUAAAAAAGCUAAAAUCAAAACGACUCCUAAAUCAAGGUAAUAUUUCUGAAAUAGACUAUAUAAUAUAAAAGCAUAUGAAACUACUAAACUAAAUAAUAUUAUUAAGCUAUUUUGUACACUGAAAGCAUUCUAUCUUCCUUAUUUCAACUUUGCAUAAGUCUUCUUCAUUUGGCGAAAAGCUGCAUUGAUUGAGAUCUUUGAAAUUCACGGUUCCAAGGGAAAGCAAGAAAGCGAAAACCAUAGGCUCCACAAGACCAUGAAACUGAUUAAGUAAUAUGAUAUCGACUACAAGACGAACUUGUAAAUAUUACUCAUCAAUGGACUUCUUAAGUAAGAUCCUGAAAAUUUUCUUUUCACCAGCAUUGUUAAGAAUAUUAAGAAAAGUGAUAAGAACUUCAAUUUCUUCAAUGUGUUCUUCAUGUUGUGAAGGACAGAGGAAAAAUUUUGAGUAUCGACUACUGACAAGAGAAAAGCCUUUACAGACUCAGGUUUAGCUCGACAUAUCUGUGAUUCUUACUGUAACUUCAAACACAAGUAUAAAUAUAACUAGUACUCUUUUCCUAGCUGACAACAAGAAUCAUAGACACAACCAACCAGGAAGAGAAUUCUUACUCCAAAUAACUUUUAAAAGGUAUUGAUAUUAAACAAAAAGCUUGAUGACGUUGAAGUAUCUCAAUUCUUUCCAGACAUUCAAAAGAACCAAAACUCAAUAUAAUAGAUCCAAUUGCAAUGAAUUAUAAUUAAACAAUAGCUUGACUACCGCUUAAAGCUUCACUUUUAUUUUAUGGACCACACAAAAGAGAAAGAGUUGGGAUUCAAACCUAGAACUUGUUGAUUAUGACCUGGGAAAAUUGAAAAGAAAAAAAAAAGAAAUAUGAAGAUCAGGGGGAAAGGAAAAAUGGAAUAAAGAGAUAACAUCAAAAGAACUUGGAAUCAAGAGAUGAAACAAAGAGAAGUAGAACAGAGGACCAGGAAAAGAACAAUUGGGCUUAUGAUAAUGUUUCAUGUAGAACAUAACUACUAACUAGCUGCAUUGACCACAUUAAUUUAGAAAAUUAAAAGGAUAGAAAGAGAGAAUAGGAGUGGAAGAGAGGACUAAGCAAAGGUGAGAGGAAAAAGAAAGAAUAGAUAGAAGAAAAGGCUACAGGAGAAUAGACGAAAAACCAAAAUUUAGGAAUAAGCUGCAAGUACCAUUUCAAAAUAACAUAAUAAAUUUGCAUUAUAUCAAAUGUAUCUCAUAAACAAAAAUACGUGGAAGAAAGAAGCAAUAGUGCUAGGCAACAAAUUGGCCCAAUUAGAAGUUGCUAUCAACGUUGGACCCAUCAAAUUGACACAAGUUUUCUAUCGGAGCUGCUACCACCUUUGGACUGACAAGAAAUGAUACAAGUUGGCAAUAGGGGGUUGCCGAUGCUUUUGGACCAAUCAGAAGCAUAGCACCUAGGAAGAAAAGAUAAAAACUAAGCUCCAAUACCAUCCUAUUAAUAAUAAGAUGCUACCUCAUCCUAUGAGAAAAAGAAAAAAGAGCGAUCAGAGUAACUACUAAACCCAGCUAAUAUUUCACCACUGAGGUGACAACCCGAAGGUGUAAAUACACUUAUUCUUUCCACAUGAGAGUCACAGGUAUAUACCUGCAUUUGCUAGUAAUUUGUACUACAAGCAGCUGUAGAGAGGGGUACUUGUGUCUCAAUGGGUUAUAAUGAUAGACUUGCAUUAGGGCAAUAGUUACAGCUCAAAUCAAUAUUCUGCAACUGAUAGAAACUCCUACAAUCACAUCCAAAGAGGACUGGUUGUGCUGGUUUUUUAAGGAAAACAAUUAAUCCAACCAAUAUUUUCUAAAUAGCUUAUACAAAAUAAAUAUAUGAAAAUACUAAAAAUUGUAUAAGUAUCACAGAACUAUUUUCUAAUGCUAAAAAGAAGCCAUCAUGGUUUUUCCCAUUAUACGUUAGUGAGAAUCUUAAUGUAUGAUUUACCUGCAUGUACCUGGCUAGAACUAAAAAAUCAGUAUCCUGAACCAGCUCCAAGAUCUCCUGUUCUCUUUUGUUUGCUUUGGUUGUAUGCAAGUAAUGAUAUGGAAUACCAUGCCUUUCAAGAAAGCGAAUCACAUGCGUGUUUGAAGCUCUCUCAUGAUUACUAUCAUUCAAAGUAUUUAUGGACCAUAAUGAGUAAUGUGUAGCUUCAGUGUAGAGUUAAAUAGUCUAGAAAAAUCACCUUAUUACACAAGUUAUAUCCACAGGAAGCUUUCCAUCUUGCCAUGCGUGUAACAUGUCAACCAAGCAGUGAUCCUGCAGUUAGAUUAAAAUAGCUUCAGUAGACAGAAUAAACUUCAAUAUGAAGAAAAGAAGGGUUCAACAGAACUGAAAAUAUAUACCUGUUUUGAUGAAAGAAGAGCAAUCUUAUAUUUGGGAUCUAUACAUGGUACUCGGACAACAGACUUAGUAGCAUUGUACAUUUUUGCCAACUUGGAGAAGUCCUCCUCCAUUUGUUCACGUGGCCAUUUAACAGGAUCAAAAACAAACUCCCUGACAAAAAUGCACGUUUAGAUUUACCUCCACUUGUAGAAAACCUAAAACCAAUACCACUUCAUCAUUCAACAAAUUGCUCCAGGAAAGACUCAGUUAAGAAACGCUAUUGUUUAUAAAACCCAACGCUGUACAGUGACCACAUUGCUAAAACUGGGCAAACACAUUUUUCAAAUUUAGAAAAGUGUCUCCCAUGAAAGGUUAUCUCUUUUGGAUUUAAGUAGGCCAUGUUGUUAGCUAAAAAUGAUAUCCAUCUAAUAUAUGGGCAUUUGACCAUUACAUAUGCAGCAUCAAUAUGAACAUAGAAUGAUUAAACACACAACUGAAGCAUUACUGUAUCUGUUCAACUUUAGGAUAAAAGUCUUCACGGAAAAAAAGGUGCUAGUUACCAAACAAAUUACGUACAUUUACAAUAUGGGAUAAUCAUAUCUAUAUGCAACUCCGGAAAUAAUAGAAAACAAGAUUGGGAGAACGUACUUCCUAGAAUAGAACACAUUCUUGCGCUCAGGCACGAAAACAUCAGCCCCAAGAAUGUUUCCACCUCUUGAAGCUAUGCAAUCCGAUAGUUUCGCCACGAUCCCAACUUCGUCCUGAUUUUCAAAACCCAAUUUAAUUCUCAUUAUUUAACGCCAGAGCUAACAAGCGAAUCCAUCUUACUACGACGGUAAAUAAUUAAAUAGAAAAAGGAAAGAUCCAAAGACUCCACUCUCCACGAAAAGCAUGAAACAACCAAAAAAAUUGAUGAUAUGAAAUUUUCUACCGCUUUCUAUUCUUAUCCUGCAUUUUCUCAACAACCAAAUAGACGAUCAUGGAAUCUGAAGCGAACACGUCAAAGACAGCAGGAGAUAGAACUUACAGGGCAAUGAAAGAUGUGGAUGCCGUUUAUAAGAAAGGGAGAGACAGAGGAAUCGAGGGACUCCCCGUGGAUUUUGCAAGAUUUCAAGGAUCUUUUUGCAAUUCUGCAUACUUGAGGUAAACUUGAACAUAAUGUUCGCGUCGGAAUCAUUUCUGUUUUUCUCUCUGCACCCUCUGAAACUAAAAGCCACCCACCAAACUUUGGCGGCCGUAGCCGUUAUCCCCGCCUAUCCCGUGUGUUAAUUUCAAUUUUUCUGGCAUCAGAUAAUUAGAUCUAUACGGUGACGUUUCACUAUGAGGAGGAGAUCGAUUUGAUUUGCGGGCCACGACAAAUUACAGCCGUAGGUUUAGAACUACAGCAGAAGAUUUUAUCAAAAAAUAUACUUUAGUCAUAAAUAAAUUAGAAAUAUUUGCCAUCGUUCAAGUGGUGCUAAAAAUUCUGUAAUUUUUAACUCAUAAAAAUAUAUUUAUCAAAUUUUUAUUAAAAUAUAUUUCUUUAAAAUAUUUAAUUGCACUAAAAAAAUUCUAUCUUUUUUUAUUUUAGCAAUAAUUUACGGAAUAUUUCACAAUUUAUAAAAUAUAAAAAUGAAAGAAAAUUAGUUUUUAUCUAUACAAGGAAUGUCAGUUCUGAAAUUUUGUGAAAUAUUUUGAUAAUAAUAACAAAAGGGGUGGGGGGAGGGAAAAAAAAAAAGAGAGUGAAAAUAUUAAUAUAAUAAUGUAUAGAACUAUCCGUACACUAUAUAAUCAUAAGUUGGUACUUACAAUAAUAAUAGUAGUAGUAGUAAGUCAUUAAUUAAAAAUGUACGUAAUCAUAAUAACAAAAAUUAAUAAUUAAUUACUACAGUUGUAAUGAAAAACAUAAAAGGAGAUGCCGUACUAAUUGGUUUCUUAACUAAAAAAAUUAACACAAAUAAUAGUAUUAUAAAACGGAUAAUUAUUGAGCUAAUCAGUCUAAUCAAGGUUCAUAAUAUUAUUCUUCUUUGGUCUUGUCUUUUGGGUUAAUUGAGUCGGGCUUGAAUUAAAAUUGCCCAGCUUUUGGGUUUAUUCUCAUUUAUACACCUCUAAUUAAUUAUAUAUUCAUAUGUAUGUAUUUACGAUACAGUUUUCUCGGACAAUUUUGAAACAAAGUUUUCCCGUUAUACUUACUUGUAAGUAUUUAAAUACACAUACAUCUUUACGUAAAUAAAUUAUUUUAUUGUUAUUUUUAUUUUAUUUUUUUUAAUUUUAUUGUUGUUUUGUCUUUUACAUUUUUAAUUAAUAGAAUGGAAUAAACUAUUAAAAAAUUGUAAAUAUUUUCACACUAAAAAUUUUGAACAAAAUUAGUGUAACGACCCCGGAAAAUAUUAAAAUGAACUGAGUAUUUAAAUAUAUCGAAUGCGGAAGCGAGAUCAAAACUUCAGUUAACAUCCCUUACACGAAAAACAAAAAAAAAACGUACUUAAAAUAUAAAAGAUUAAACUAACUAAGAAAGAAACUCGAAAAUAAAACUAUGCGUAUGACUACAGAGUCUCUAGGCAUCCCCUUCGUCGUCCUCCUGCGGAACGGGCUCGGGAACCAUGUCUUCCUGAUCUGAAAUGGUUAAUUAAGGAGUGAGCUACACUAGCCCAGUAAGAACAUCACGAUAUCUCACCGUCACGGAGAUAAAGGUGGGUAGAAAACCACAAAAAGACCAAUGGAGCAUAAUUUACAAUAAACUCGUUUAUUAACAACAAAACCUUUUAUCAAUAAUAAAACUUUGACCAUCCACUUACCUUGGUGGAAUUUAUGAAAACAAUAUGAGAAAAACAAUAACAUUAUCAUAAUCAUUGAAUAAUCUAAGCUGUAAAACAUAACACUUAUCACGCCUCUUGUAAUUCAAUCAUUGUACAACAUAUCUUUUUCUCAUUUACCAGCCUACUAGUAUCCGUGGGGGUCCAUAGGGGUUCCGCUACCCGUUAACCCUUAACAUUCAUAAUCAGUUUCCAGGGCCGUCCCCAUACCCCGUCCGGUAUGGGCGCCAAAACCAUGAACCUCAAUACCCCGUCCGGUAUGAGGGUGAAACGGGCCGUCCCCAUACCCCGUCCGGUAUGGGCGCCAAAACCAUGAACCUCAAUACCCCGUCCGGUAUGAGGGUGAAACGGGCCGUCCCCAUACCCCGUCCGGUAUGGGCGCCAAAACCAUAAACCUCAAUACCCCGUCCGGUAUGAGGGUGAAACGGGCCGUCCCCAUACCCCGUCCGGUAUGGGCGCCAAAACCAUAAGAUCUCCAUACCCCGUCCGGCAUGUGAGACCACAAUCCCGGUAGGGUUCCCUACGGACCCGGUCCGUCCACCAUCUCCCAGGAUAUCUAGUCAGGCUGACCCCCAUAAUACAAUUAUCAGUCUACACAAUCUUUCAUUUUUCCUUUUCCUCAAUCAGCAUCAUCAAUUCACAUUUAAACAAGCAAAUCGUAAUUCAUACCAAACAGACAACAUACAGUAUCAGUUUUUCAGUCAUUCAACCCAUAAUUAAUAAAAACGUAGUACAUGCACACAAAUCUGUAAAAUGAACACAUCAAACCUCAUUUUGCAUUUAAAGCUGUAAACAGGCCAAAUAACAGUAAAUCAUCAAUCACACUAGACUCGGGCUCCAUUAGCAACCUUAAGCAAUUUCACACAUUCGUUGGUUCAUGAAAUACCGUUUUAUCAUUUAUUGAACUUUAAUACCGUGAUAGAAAAUAGGGUGAGGGGUCCUUACUUGUUUUCGGGAUCCGAAUACGAUUCACAGUGCGCCUGCAGGCUGUCCCUAAUUUUCCCUGAAUUUUUCCCGGGGAACUGAAACACGCUAACAGUACCUGCACGGGUUCCAAAAAAAUUCCAAAUUAGGUCCAGGGCCUCUUUCGGCCCAAAUCGCAACUCCGGCACGGCGGCUCCGCCGUGCUCCGGCGACGGCGCCGCCGCUGGCGGCGGCGAGUCGCCUCGGGUUGACUGUUUUCGGCCGUUUUUGGCCGAAUUCGGCCACACUCGCAUUGGUCCUUGUCAGAAAACAACCCUAGGGCCCUCGGGGGGCCAAAAAAUCACGGAAAAGCGGAGCUUACCGGCGGCGGCGCACUCGGGUACGGCGACUCUCCGGCGAAGUUCGUGUUUUGGUGAUUUGGCUUCGGUCAACCUGUAGAGAAAAGAAUGGUGAUCACGGUGAUAUAAAAAUUGCAUCGAACGGAGGCCGGGAAGGGCCUCGUCGGAGGCAAAAACCGAGAGGGGGCGCGGCGGCGCCGCUGGGCUUCGGCCGCGUAUUUCGGCCGUUUGGCCGGGAUUUCGGCUUCGAUUUGGCCAUAGGAGGAAUCAGUGGGGAAAAACGAGUCGGGGGUAUGAAAUUUACCUCGAUCGGCGGUCGGAAAUUUCCCCGGUGCGGCGGCGAGUGGCGGCGGGUGGCGGCGGUCGGCCUCUGGUUCGUCUUCUCCAGCGAGCGGCUGGCGGCUAGGGUUUUUGGUCUGGUGUGGGGGUUCUAUUUAUAACCCCUUGCCUUUUGAUCACAGCUGUUCGUUUCGUUUUAAUCUGGGCUGUUCGUUUUUGAUUGAAUCUGGGCCGUCCGUGCGUUUGAAUCUGGGCCGUCCGAUCGCGUGAUUGAUCUGGGCCGUCGGAUCGCACCCACGCGGAUCGCCAACGUGGCUCCUUUCGGAGUGACGCGAUCUUGCCACGUGGCAGGCCCCGGUUGGCCGGGACUGCUGACCGGGCCUGCUGACGUGGCUGCUGACGUGGCCCCCCCCUUUUUUUUUUUCCCUCCUUUCCGGGCGCUACAAUUAGCAUACGCAUGUGCUAUAUAUAUAUAUAUAGAGAGAGAGAGAGAGAUAUAUUUAUAUAUUUUUUUGAGUUACCAUAAAAAAAAAUUAAAAAAUUUAAGACUGUAUUUAGGAAUAUUUUCUAUUUUUUGAUUUUUUAAAUUUAUAUUUAUUCAUUCAUGAAAGUGUUGUAAAUUUAAAAUACAAAUAAAUAAUUUUAAAAAAAUACUAAAAAAUAAAAUUUUUAAACCUUAUUUGUAUUUUGUUAUUAUUAGUAAAUUUAUAUAAUUUUGUAAAUAAAGUAUAUAUAAAUCUAAAAAAUUUGGAAUUAUUUUUCUCCCAUAUACGUUAUAGUAAUAAUUUUUAAGAGAAGACAAAAAAAAAAACCCAACAUUUUAUAACUUAUUUUAUUUUAUUUAAAGAAUGAAUUAUACAAAAGAAGCAGAAAUUUUGACGAAUCUCGUGGGAGAGAGAACGCCCAGAUCUGUCGUCAAGCAACCCGGAGAAACCUGAGAGCAAAACUUUCGUAUCCUGGGUACUUCUCAUUAGAGCUUAAAAUCCAAUACGAUUUCUUAGAGAAAAUGCCUGUAAGUAUUUGUUCAUCUGGAAAUUUCUGAUUCAGUCAUCUUCCAAUAUUUUUUAUUAACUCGUCGAUUGGGUUAUCGUUGUCUGCGUUGCAGUUUACGAGAGUGAUAGAGGUGGAACCCCCGAGCCCUCUUAGAUACCUGAUCGGAGCGGCGAUCAUGAUGAUCGGAGUCGUCUUACCCGUUGGUUACAUGAUGUUUCGAAACAAGCGUGUGCCUUCCUCUUCUUCUUAUUCCAAACAGACGUAGGUGUGCCUUUGCUUUUUUUUUUUUUUUUUUAAAGUUUGUUAAUAUUCCUUUAAGCUGAAAAUAGUCUAAUUUAGAGCCAAAUUUUUUAUCUUUCAAAUUGUAGUAGUCUUGCAGUAAAAAUAUGAAAUGAGAUUCAGUUAUAUUUGGCUUAAUGGAAAAUAGAUUUCAUGCCGUAUCAUGUUGGAAUCUUAAUGGCUUGUUUGGUUGCUAAUAAAAUGUUAGGAUAGCUGGAUAACUGAAUGUGCGUCUUUAAUUUUUCCUUUACUAUUUUCUUAAGCAGCGGAUAGUCCUUUGGUUUUGAUGAGACUGGAACGAUCUUCCAUGAUUUAAGCAUCAAAUUGAACUUUUUAAGUAGAGUGCUUUGCGUUGCUUAAAAAUAAUAUAUUAAUUUCAUUUCUGAAUCCGGGGAAAAAAAGGACAGAGGAACUGAUUCUUAGAUUUGUUUUGGUUGACAUAUCAGGAACAAAGUUUUGAUAUAGACACACUGAAAUCAGAGAGGCUUUUAGAUAUGAUUCAUGGGUUGUUUAAAGUCUGAAGAAGAUGGAAAAGGAAGAUGCAUCGAGAUAUCGACAAAAUACAAAUGUAAAUGCGUUAAAACUCAAAUCUAUUACUUUGUUUGUGUAUGAUCCCAAUUCAUGUUUGUGAAAUGACAUACAUGUUGUUUGGUGCAGUUUUCCUCAUUUUCUUCAUUAGAUAGUCUAGUUAAUGAAUAUUAUCUUUGUUUUGUAAUUCUCUCUAAUGGCUGGACUAUAUCCUGAUUAUUCUUUUGUGUGAUGGUAAACAUGAGUUUGAGAUUUUUCUUUUUCAGUUUUCAUUCCGUUCAAAUGUUAUUUCUCCACUUAGUUACUAAGGUUAUGUUUGGAAUAAAUUCAAAUUUCUUGUGUAAAAUUUACUUGUAGAUAUAAAAUUAUUCAAAAUAAUGAAAUUCCUAGUUAAAAUAACGAAAAUUGAACUAACAUAGAAUUUUAUAUGGAAUUAGAAUAAAGCAAUCCAAAUUUUAUCAAAUUUGACAAAAUUUAGACUGUAUUUUCCAAUUUCAUGUAGAAUUCCAUGUGAGCUAAACUUUUUAUAAUCUCCUAAUAGGAUUUGCACGUCUUUUAGUUAAAAGAAAUAUGAAUUUGCAAACAAAUUCCAUAAAAAUUUAAGAUUUGUUCCAAACAUAACCCAAAUUAAUCUUAUAGAUUAAAUUAAUAUGGAGUUCUAUAUGAAAUGCUUUCCAAUUUUAUUAAAUUCAAUGGAAUUUAGAAUUCAUUAUUCUGAUUUCAUGAAGAAUUUCAUAUGAGCUCAAAUAUUUAUCAUGUUAAAAUUUGCACGUCUAUCAAGUUAAAACAAAUAUGGAUUUGUAAAUGAGUUCCAUAUAAAAUUUUGAUUUUUGAACUAGUAUUUACUAUUAACUAUAUUUUCUUGGAUUUUUCAUCUUCUAUAGGGUUGGAUGGUUUCUUGGACUUAGUUUGGUUUUAUUGCAGGGAUCUAAGAGUUCUUUGCUUUAUGGUUGGAUGAUUAUGAUCAAAGUAAUUUAUACUAUUUUUACUACUGAACUUUAUGGGGACUUGGUAUUAUAUGAAGUUGCCAUGAUCUGUGUAAUCUACACUCUUGAUUUCUAUUUUAAUGACGAGUAAAAGGUUGUCACAGUGACUUUUGGUAAUGUUUAAGCCAUGUAGAAUAUGGCUUAUGAUUUUUCUUUUCCAGCAGUUGGUUCCUUGCAGGGUGUCCUUAUUACUGACGGAUUACUUAUAGACUAGAUUUGCUUGGUUUCUUGAAGGGGCAAAAUUUGUUAGUUUCAACAACUUUCUUCUCCCUUUGAGAUCCCAUCAAAGAGGAAGUUGCUAGUAGCUUUUGGUUAUAUAUUCAUCCUUUCGUGGUGAUUUUUCUUCUUUUUUGCCUUUGGUUCAUUGCCUUCAAAAUUCUUGAUUUGAGUUAGAUGGUGGCAUUUAACUGAUGAGAUUGAGGAGUUGCGAGAGCAUUGCGGGUGAUAAACAUAAGAAGAACUCAUCUCUUUUAUCUCCUUAGCUACCUUGUUAAAAGGGAUUUGCAGAGUGUUUCACAUGUUUUCUUAGAGGAGAUAACAAAUUAUGAAUGCUGAGUUGAUUACUAAUUAAAUAGUUAAAUUUAUGUAGAGGCAUCAUGUGGAAGGUUAAAUUGAUAAUCUUUAUAAGGAGAAGCAUUAUGAACCAUAUGUCUUGAGUUUUCUUGUUUUAAAUGUUAAUGAGGGUUGGGUUUAGAGAUAGAUAGUGUUCAUGUAUGAGGACUUGUAUUUCUUCCUCUCCCUUUUGACUAUUGUUAAUGAUAACCCUUGUGGUUUUUCAAGGCCUCAAGUUAUGUAAGGCAAGGGAAUCGUUCUUUCCACCUCCUUUUCAUCAUUGUUAUGAAGAUCCUCAACAGACUAAUUGUUACAUUCAAAGAAACAUUGCAUCACUUAGGGGUUGCUUGCGCGGAAAGGAAGGAAAGUGGUGGAGGUGUGAGUUGUCAAUCUUGUAAAAAAUUUUAGUGAUGCGGAAGUUCAAGGAUAUAUCACUCCAUGGCCUUUCCUUUUGUAUUUGUCAUUACAAGAGGAACUUUAAAUUGAUUGAAAGCUGGGUAUUAGUGGUUCUUUCAUUGUAAAAUUCUUCUUUUUGCACCAGGUUCAUUUGUUGUUGCCCAUCGCAAUUUCCCUUGAAGCAAAUAUGAAAAUUGAACUUGUUUCCUUAAUAUUUUUUUCCCUUUUUAAAACUUGAGAGGCAACGAGAGGGAGAAUUCCCGCUAUUGACAAAGCUUAAAAAUGGAAAGAGUCCUGUGUACAUGUGUUAUUUAUGCAGGUGAAUCUCUAAAUUUUCAUCCUAUUGUGGUGAGUUUUCUUCCUUAGCCUUUGGUGCAUUGCCUUAAAUUUCUUCAUUUGAGUUAGAUGGUGGCAUCUGACUCACAAGAUUUGGGAUUUGCAGAGCAUUGUGGGUGAUAAACUUAGGAAGCAACUCAUCUCUCUUAUCCGCUUAGCUACCCUUUUUUUUUUUUAAGAGAGGGUUUCCAUUCUCCUAAUUCUACUUUUUGAGUUGGAAGAUCUUGUAGAUAUCGUAACCGAUCUGCUGAAAAGGGCAUAGCACUAUUUUGGUACCUUGCUCGCACACCCACACACACACAAACAUAAAUGUGAAAAAUAAUAAUUUUUAAGCACUUAGUUUUAGUUGCUUAGGACUAAGAAAAAGAAUCCACAGUAUGUUUCAAAUUCUUGUAGGUGUUUAUUUUUAUCUGUUAAUUAAUUCUUUUUAUCCUUUUGCACUUUAUUAUUUAGUUCUAAUAACAAGUUUAAACUAUAUUUGGAAAAAUAAAUUUGUAAAAUUUAUUAGAAGAUAGAAACUCGUUUAAAAUGACUAAAUGAAAAUCCUGCUUAAAAUGAAGCAAUUUGAUCUUCUAUAAUGAAAUUAGGAAGUAAAUUAUUAUGAUAACACUACAGCUAAAAUAACAACAUAUUUCCAAAUAAAUCUAAAAAAAAAAUUGUUUACAUCUCCAAUAAUGAAAUUCCUGUGGCAUUGCCGUGGACAAAUUCACCAGUAUAUCAGUUCAUUCCUUGAUUCAUGCCAAGGACAGGGCCUUAGAGAGAGAAAGAAGGGAUUGUGGAAGACAUUUGAGAAUAGUAGAUUGCAGGGGUAAAUGAAUAUGGAUCAAUAACCUGAUGUACCAUACAACAGAAAUAUAUUGGUUAUCACGUUGCAGCUGUCCUGGCCACAACCUUACUUUACACUACAUCCAUCAUUCUCAAAAUCAUUAAAUUCAUAUUGUGAUAAUCACUAGAAAGUAAAAAUUGUCAUAACCAUGGAGAACGAAUAAAGGAUCCAAAAAAUCUUCUGUCAACAAAUAAUUGAUGUAUUUCCUGGCCAUUUCACUUCCUUUUCGGAUGAGACAUGGGAACACUUAGUUUUGUAUUUCCCACAUGGAUGGCUACUUGACUCUGAUGGAGCCAAACAAACCCUCCACGGAAAAAUUUGCCUUGCCCCACAACAGAUGGGACAGAAAGGAAUGCAACAUUGCCCUGUUUGGUAAUGGUAGUUUUACCACAUCAUGGCUUAAUGACUGCAUUGCACUACAUACAAAGCAUGCUUGUAGCUACUGGUCAUGCCAUCUCCCUAGAGCCUCUCCAAAGCGAAUUUUAUCCCCACGUUUGAUACAAAACCUGAAAUCUGNNNNN
rnacentral:lncRNA from 1 species